UACGUAGGGUGCGAGCGUUGUCCGGAAUUAUUGGGCGUAAAGGGCUCGUAGGCGGUUUGUCGCGUCGGGAGUGAAAUCCACUGGCUUAACUGGUGGCUUGCUUUCGAUACGGGCAGACUGGAGGUAUGCAGGGGAGAACGGAAUUCCUGGUGUAGCGGUGAAAUGCGCAGAUAUCAGGAGGAACACCGGUGGCGAAGGCGGGUCUCUGGGCAGUAACUGACGCUGAGGAGCGAAAGCGUGGGGAGCGAACAGG
rnacentral:rRNA from 1 species